ACUCGUGGCAUAUAGCUCAGUAACACGUGGCCAAACUACCCUACAGACCGCGAUAACCUCGGGAAACUGAGGCCAAUAGCGGAUAUCACUCUCAUGCUGGAGUGCCGAGAGUGAGAAACGUUCCGGCGCUGUAGGAUGUGGCUGCGGCCGAUUAGGUAGAUGGUGGGGUAACGGCCCACCAUGCCGAUAAUCGGUACAGGUUGUGAGAGCAAGAGCCUGGAGACGGUAUCUGAGACAAGAUACCGGGCCCUACGGGGCGCAGCAGGCGCGAAACCUUUACACUGCACGACAGUGCGAUAGGGGGACUCCGAGUGUGAGGGCAUAUAGCCCUCGCUUUUCUGUACCGUAAGGUGGUACAAGAAUAAGGACUGGGCAAGACCGGUGCCAGCCGCCGCGGUAAUACCGGCAGUCCAAGUGAUGGCCGAUAUUAUUGGGCCUAAAGCGUCCGUAGCUUGCUGUGUAAGUCCGUUGGGAAAUCGACCAGCUCAACUGGUCGACGUCCGGUGGAAACUACACAGCUUGGGGCCGAAAGACUCGACGGGUACGUCCGGGGUAGGAGUGAAAUCCUGUAAUCCUGGACGGACCACCAAUGGGGAAACCACGUUGAGAGACCGGACCCGACAGUGAGGGACGAAAGCCAGGGUCUCGAACCGGAUUAGAUACCCGGGUAGUCCUGGCUGUAAACAAUGCUCGCUAGGUAUGUCACGCGCCAUGAGCACGUGAUGUGCCGUAGUGAAGACGAUAAGCGAGCCGCCUGGGAAGUACGUCCGCAAGGAUGAAACUUAAAGGAAUUGGCGGGGGAGCACCACAACCGGAGGAGCCUGCGGUUUAAUUGGACUCAACGCCGGACAUCUCACCGGUCCCGACAGUAGUAAUGACAGUCAGGUUGACGACUUUACUCGACGCUACUGAGAGGAGGUGCAUGGCCGCCGUCAGCUCGUACCGUGAGGCGUCCUGUUAAGUCAGGCAACGAGCGAGACCCGCACUUCUAGUUGCCAGCAAUACCC
rnacentral:rRNA from 1 species